GCAAGUCUUCUAGGCCAGUGAUUCCCAUUCAUGAUUUUGAAUGAAGUGAUGAAAGCCACAUUAUCUAUUGCCAUGGCUUGAAAGCUAUGCGACAGACUUGGGGCUUUGUUUUCACAAUGACUGGCACAAAUACAGCACACAGUCAAAGACCAAAAAAAAAAUACAGCGCAGUCAUACAGCACAUGGUUGGCUAGAAACCAGACCACUAUGAUUUAUUUGAGUAAAAUUGCUACAUUUUGCAGACAGAAGCAAAGCAUAUGCUUUAUUUUCUUCCCCAACAAAGCAUAGGCAUUCUUCAUUAACCAAACAUGAACACUUUUAGGGGAAAUUUGAAAUACAGGUUCAUACCUUCAGUAUAUACCUCAGCACCUCUGAAUAGACACUUGCAUUAUGUAUCUAAUGCCAUAUCGCGGUUGUAGCUUGGUUAGAACUGCAUUGUAUCACAUCAAAUGCUGUUUAACUCCUGCAUUACACAUGUUUUAUUUUCGCUACAAUAAAAUCACAUCCCAAAUCGACACAUUUCUGUUGUUUCAGCCUUACCUUAAGCAGUAUGCUCAUGGCGGUGGCCAUGCCCACCAUGCCGACACCGACCACCGUCACCUUGUUCCUGCUGCCCACGGACUUAUCCUUAAGCACAUGGCUGAUCAGUUUUUCUUUGGUGGCCAUCUGGAGGGAAUAAUAAAGAGUAAAGGAAGUGGAUGAGGAACGUUGCCACUAAAGCUGACACAGCCGAUAAUGAAGAGGUGGUGAAAAUAUCCAUGGUGGCAUCAUUUUGUUUGUUUUCUGAGGCUCCUUAUUGAGAAUCCCAGCAUCUCACUAACUCUCCAUAGCAACUCCUGCCCGGACAAACGCUCAUUACUUCAUGGCAUCCUCCUUAGUGCCUCGACUCGGUACUCAGUGGGGGUGGGGAACAUUGGCUCAUGUGUACGUGCAGCGCGACCAUCCCCCUGGCUGCCAUGACAACGUACUAUUUAUGGAGGGUACACUACUGAUUGCAUGUCUAGUGUGGUUCUCCUCCUGAGAUUAGAACUGAUAGCGGCACACGAUGGUGGAAAUGUGUGUAACCGGAGUACCUCUCAAGGGUUCAAACAAAAGGCCUUUUGUUCCCUUCUGCCACAGCCGAUGGGUCGUUUUAUUAUUAAGUCCAACUUUUUUUGGGAUGCAUCUUUUAACAACAGGACUUAAAGGUGCGUGUAAAGCCAUAAAAAGCACUUGUAUCAGGCGUAAAGCAACAAGCUGUUGGACUGCUGUCAAGAAUGUGUUAACAUUGGGGGUUUUGGCAAUUUUCCUAUCAUUGUCCCCAGGCGUCCAGGGAGUGACACACACACAAGUUCUUGUAUUUGUUACCUUCUUCUUGACACCUCCGAAAAAUGCUUACCUCCUUAGGACCACCCUUUCUAGAUAUAUAAAGAUUUUUAUUUACAACAUUAAUAAUAUAUAAAUAAACUAUGCUAUACUAUAAAAAAGGUAAGCUAUUUGUAAUUGUUUUGUUUGUAAUUGGUUUUUAAUCUUCAUCAUUUACCUCAAGUUAUUACAGUAGGUUUAUAUAUACAUAUUUCUUUAUACAAAAAAAAAUUGGGAGCCAAACAGGGCACAUUUUAAUUUCUUACACACCCUUGUUAUUACAUACGUUGACCAGACGGGGAGCACUUUUAAAAACGACACACAGUCCAUUUGAAAGUCCCUUUUUGGGACCACCCUCAUUUUGAUAGAUGUCCCCACUAGUUGUGCAAAUGAGAUCUCUAUUUUUUGUUUUUUUUGCCACAAUGGUCUUAGUAAGGUAGUGUAUUCGUAGAUCCUAUGGUCACAUAUGGGACGCAGGUUGUUUUACGUCAGCACCGGAAGUCGCAAAUUCAGCUGUUCACCUGGCGGGUUUUUCCGGGGAUGAAUCGGGAAGUCCUUCUUUAGCUGCAGUCUUAUUUUAUCAUAUAUUAAUGCCUUUUGCACCUGUCCGUGUUUACUUUUACAUGCACAUCAAAUCAACAAAAAAAUCCCGACUUUGGAGCAAUGUUCACAAACUCUAGUAUUUGGCUCUAUAAAAUGUAAUGGUUUUCCGUAUCGGGACCAUGAUUUGUGUUCUAACUUGUAAACCAGUCCCCAUAUGGAAGGUGCUUUUCCUUGUUGAUGUCUCAAGAAAGGGUAGAAAUACAAAAAAACUCACACACACCCUUCCACUUAGUAAUGUAGCAUUGAGUAUAACUGGUAAAGCUACUCUUUACUAACAAUCAUGGCAACAGGAUGAGACACUUAUUAAACUGUCAGGGUUGUUUUAAUAUACAUUUUCUUCACACAAAGCAGUAUUCAUUAAUUUUUUUACUAUUGUGCUUUCCUUGUAGUGGUGUGGAACUAACUGUCUUGCAUCAUCCCAAUGAAUGAUACAUCACAAUAAUAAACAUUAUGAUUGAUUGGAA